rnacentral:rRNA from 1 species
AACCACCUGAGUUGGGUAUGACUACCUGCUGAACUUAAGCAUAUCAG